rnacentral:rRNA from 1 species
UUAAGCGACUAAGCGUACACGGUGGAUGCCCUGGCAGUCAGAGGCGAUGAAGGACGUGCUAAUCUGCGAUAAGCGUCGGUAAGGUGAUAUGAACCGUUAUAACCGGCGAUUUCCGAAUGGGGAAACCCAGUGUGUUUCGACACACUAUCAUUAACUGAAUCCAUAGGUUAAUGAGGCGAACCGGGGGAACUGAAACAUCUAAGUACCCCGAGGAAAAGAAAUCAACCGAGAUUCCCCCAGUAGCGGCGAGCGAACGGGGAGCAGCCCAGAGCCUGAAUCAGUGUGUGUGUUAGUGGAAGCGUCUGGAAAGGCGCGCGAUACAGGGUGACAGCCCCGUACACAAAAAUGCACAUGCUGUGAGCUCGAUGAGUAGGGCGGGACACGUGGUAUCCUGUCUGAAUAUGGGGGGACCAUCCUCCAAGGCUAAAUACUCCUGACUGACCGAUAGUGAACCAGUACCGUGAGGGAAAGGCGAAAAGAACCCCGGCGAGGGGAGUGAAAAAGAACCUGAAACCGUGUACGUACAAGCAGUGGGAGCACGCUUAGGCGUGUGACUGCGUACCUUUUGUAUAAUGGGUCAGCGACUUAUAUUCUGUAGCAAGGUUAACCGAAUAGGGGAGCCGAAGGGAAACCGAGUCUUAACUGGGCGUUAAGUUGCAGGGUAUAGACCCGAAACCCGGUGAUCUAGCCAUGGGCAGGUUGAAGGUUGGGUAACACUAACUGGAGGACCGAACCGACUAAUGUUGAAAAAUUAGCGGAUGACUUGUGGCUGGGGGUGAAAGGCCAAUCAAACCGGGAGAUAGCUGGUUCUCCCCGAAAGCUAUUUAGGUAGCGCCUCGUGAAUUCAUCUCCGGGGGUAGAGCACUGUUUCGGCAAGGGGGUCAUCCCGACUUACCAACCCGAUGCAAACUGCGAAUACCGGAGAAUGUUAUCACGGGAGACACACGGCGGGUGCUAACGUCCGUCGUGAAGAGGGAAACAACCCAGACCGCCAGCUAAGGUCCCAAAGUCAUGGUUAAGUGGGAAACGAUGUGGGAAGGCCCAGACAGCCAGGAUGUUGGCUUAGAAGCAGCCAUCAUUUAAAGAAAGCGUAAUAGCUCACUGGUCGAGUCGGCCUGCGCGGAAGAUGUAACGGGGCUAAACCAUGCACCGAAGCUGCGGCAGCGACGCUUAUGCGUUGUUGGGUAGGGGAGCGUUCUGUAAGCCUGCGAAGGUGUGCUGUGAGGCAUGCUGGAGGUAUCAGAAGUGCGAAUGCUGACAUAAGUAACGAUAAAGCGGGUGAAAAGCCCGCUCGCCGGAAGACCAAGGGUUCCUGUCCAACGUUAAUCGGGGCAGGGUGAGUCGACCCCUAAGGCGAGGCCGAAAGGCGUAGUCGAUGGGAAACAGGUUAAUAUUCCUGUACUUGGUGUUACUGCGAAGGGGGGACGGAGAAGGCUAUGUUGGCCGGGCGACGGUUGUCCCGGUUUAAGCGUGUAGGCUGGUUUUCCAGGCAAAUCCGGAAAAUCAAGGCUGAGGCGUGAUGACGAGGCACUACGGUGCUGAAGCAACAAAUGCCCUGCUUCCAGGAAAAGCCUCUAAGCAUCAGGUAACAUCAAAUCGUACCCCAAACCGACACAGGUGGUCAGGUAGAGAAUACCAAGGCGCUUGAGAGAACUCGGGUGAAGGAACUAGGCAAAAUGGUGCCGUAACUUCGGGAGAAGGCACGCUGAUAUGUAGGUGAGGUCCCUCGCGGAUGGAGCUGAAAUCAGUCGAAGAUACCAGCUGGCUGCAACUGUUUAUUAAAAACACAGCACUGUGCAAACACGAAAGUGGACGUAUACGGUGUGACGCCUGCCCGGUGCCGGAAGGUUAAUUGAUGGGGUUAGCGCAAGCGAAGCUCUUGAUCGAAGCCCCGGUAAACGGCGGCCGUAACUAUAACGGUCCUAAGGUAGCGAAAUUCCUUGUCGGGUAAGUUCCGACCUGCACGAAUGGCGUAAUGAUGGCCAGGCUGUCUCCACCCGAGACUCAGUGAAAUUGAACUCGCUGUGAAGAUGCAGUGUACCCGCGGCAAGACGGAAAGACCCCGUGAACCUUUACUAUAGCUUGACACUGAACAUUGAGCCUUGAUGUGUAGGAUAGGUGGGAGGCUUUGAAGUGUGGACGCCAGUCUGCAUGGAGCCGACCUUGAAAUACCACCCUUUAAUGUUUGAUGUUCUAACGUUGACCCGUAAUCCGGGUUGCGGACAGUGUCUGGUGGGUAGUUUGACUGGGGCGGUCUCCUCCUAAAGAGUAACGGAGGAGCACGAAGGUUGGCUAAUCCUGGUCGGACAUCAGGAGGUUAGUGCAAUGGCAUAAGCCAGCUUGACUGCGAGCGUGACGGCGCGAGCAGGUGCGAAAGCAGGUCAUAGUGAUCCGGUGGUUCUAAAUGGAAGGGCCAUCGCUCAACGGAUAAAAGGUACUCCGGGGAUAACAGGCUGAUACCGCCCAAGAGUUCAUAUCGACGGCGGUGUUUGGCACCUCGAUGUCGGCUCAUCACAUCCUGGGGCUGAAGUAGGUCCCAAGGGUAUGGCUGUUCGCCAUUUAAAGUGGUACGCGAGCUGGGUUUAGAACGUCGUGAGACAGUUCGGUCCCUAUCUGCCGUGGGCGCUGGAGAACUGAGGGGGGCUGCUCCUAGUACGAGAGGACCGGAGUGGACGCAUCACUGGUGUUCGGGUUGUCAUGCCAAUGGCACUGCCCGGUAGCUAAAUGCGGAAGAGAUAAGUGCUGAAAGCAUCUAAGCACGAAACUUGCCCCGAGAUGAGUUCUCCCUGACCCUUUAAGGGUCCUGAAGGAACGUUGAAGACGACGACGUUGAUAGGCCGGGUGUGUAAGCGCAGCGAUGCGUUGAGCUAACCGGUACUAAUGAACCGUGAGGCUUAACCUU